rnacentral:lncRNA from 1 species
CCAUGUUUGAUUUCAUUCCAUUCAGUGGUUCUCUAAAAGAAGUCAUUUGUAUGCAUUUCCCAUAGGGUCCUAUGUUAAACUAAGUCCCCCGCUGGCGGCCAUCUUGGAUGAUGGAUUGGCUACAAAGUAACAACACUUGGUCAGCACUCCAUAAAGGAACAUUCAUGCUAUGUUUGGUUUCAUUCCAUUUAGUGGUUCUCUAGAAGAAGUCAUUUGUAUGCAUUUCCAUUAGGGUCCUAUGUUAAAACUAAGUCCCCGCUGGCGGCCAUCUUGGAUGAUGGAUCGGCUACAAAGUAACAACACUUGGUCAGCACUCCAUAAGGAACAUUCAUGCUAUGUUUGGUUUCAUUCCAUUUAGUGGUUCUCUAGAAGAAGUCAUUUGUAUGCAUUUCCCAUAGGGUCCUAUGUUAAACUAAGUCCCCCGCUGGCGGCCAUCUUGGAUGAUGGAUCGGCUACAAAGUAACAACACUUGGUCAGCACCCCAUAAGGAACAUUCAUGCUAUGUUUGGUUUUAUUCCAUUCAGUGGUUCUCUAAAAGAAGUCAUUUGUAUGCAUUUCCCAUAGGGUCCUAUGUUAAACUAAGUUCCCGGCUGGCGGCCAUCUUGGAUGAUGGAUCGGCAACAAAGUAACAACACUUGGUCAGCACCUCAUAAGGAACAUUCAUGCCAUGUUUGGUUUCAUUCAAUUCAGUGGUUCUCUAAAAGAAGUCAUUUGUAUGCAUUUCCCAUAGGGUCCUAUGUUAAACUAAGUCCCCGGCUAGCAGCCAUCUUGGAUGAUGGAUCGGCAACAAAGUAACAACACUUGGUCAGUACCUCAUAAGGAACAUUCAUGCCAUGUUUGGUUUCAUUCCAUUCAGUGGUUCUCUAAAAGAAGUCAUUUGUAUGCAUUUCCCAUAGGGUCCUAUGUUAAAACUAAGUCCCCGCUGGCGGCCAUCUUGGAUGAUGGAUCGGCUACAAAGUAACAACACUUGGUCAGCACCUCAUAAGGAACAUUCAUGCCAUGUUUGGUUCCAUUCCAUUCAGUGGUUCUC